rnacentral:rRNA from 1 species
GAUGAACGCUGGCGGCGUGCUUAAUACAUGCAAGUCGAACGGAGACAGUAGCAAUAUUGUCUUAGUGGCGAACGGGUGAGUAACGCGUGGGAACCUACCCUUUGGUUCGGAAUAGCUCAGGGAAACUUGAGGUAAUACCGGAUAAGCCCUUCGGGGGAAAGAUUUAUCGCCAAUGGAUGGGCCCGCGUCGGAUUAGCUAGUUGGUGGGGUAACGGCCUACCAAGGCGACGAUCCGUAGCUGGUCUGAGAGGAUGAUCAGCCACACUGGGACUGAGACACGGCCCAGACUCCUACGGGAGGCAG